UGUGCCAGCAGCCGCGGUAAUACGUAGGGUGCGAGCGUUGUCCGGAAUUACUGGGCGUAAAGGGCUCGUAGGUGGUUUGUCGCGUCGUCUGUGAAAUUCCGGGGCUUAACUCCGGGCGUGCAGGCGAUACGGGCAUAACUUGAGUACUGUAGGGGUAACUGGAAUUCCUGGUGUAGCGGUGAAAUGCGCAGAUAUCAGGAGGAACACCGAUGGCGAAGGCAGGUUACUGGGCAGUUACUGACGCUGAGGAGCGAAAGCAUGGGUAGCGAACAGGAUUAGAUACCUGGUAGUC
rnacentral:rRNA from 1 species